rnacentral:rRNA from 1 species
UACGAAGGGGGCUGCGUUGUUCGGAAUUACUGGGCGUAAAGCGCGCGCAGGCGGUCCUUCAAGUCAGGGGUGAAAGCCCAGAGCUCAACUCUGGAACUGCCCUUGAGACUGUGGGACUUGGGUACGGGAGAGGUGAGUGGAAUUCCGAGUGUAGAGGUGAAAUUCGUAGAUAUUCGGAAGAACACCAGUGGCGAAGGCGGCUCACUGGCCCGUUACCGACGCUCAGGCGCGACAGCGUGGGGAGCAAACAGG